AUUCCAGCUCCAAUAGCGUAUAUUAAAGUUGUUGCAGUUAAAAAGCUCGUAGUUGGAUUUGUGGUUGGAGCGGUCGGUCCGACACUCUGUGUGGGUACUUGACUGUCUCCGUCCAUCCUUGGGUGGAACCUGUGUGGCAUUAGGUUGUCGUGCAGGGGAUGCCCAUCUUUUACUGUGAAUAAAUUAGAGUGUUCAAAGCAGGCUUACGCCGUUGAAUAUGCUAGCAUGGAAUAAUAAGAUAGGACCUUGGUACUAUUUUGUUGGUUUGCGCACCGAGGUAAUGAUUAAUAGGGACAAUUGGGGGUAUUCGUAUUGCACUGUCAGAGGUGAAAUUCUUGGAUUUUUGCAAGACGAACGACUGCGAAAGCAUUUACCAAGGAUGUUUUCAUUA
rnacentral:rRNA from 1 species